rnacentral:rRNA from 1 species
GACGAACGCUGGCGGCGUGCUUAACACAUGCAAGUCGAACGGAAAGGCCCUGCUUUUGUGGGGUGCUCGAGUGGCGAACGGGUGAGUAACACGUGAGUAACCUGCCCUUGACUUUGGGAUAACUUCAGGAAACUGGGGCUAAUACCGGAUAGGAGCUCCUGCUGCAUGGUGGGGGUUGGAAAGUUUCGGCGGUUGGGGAUGGACUCGCGGCUUAUCGGCUUGUUGGUGGGGUAGUGGCUUACCAAGGCUUUGACGGGUAGCCGGCCUGGGAGGGUGACCGGCCACAUUGGGACUGAGAUACGGCCCAGACUCCUACGGGAGGCAGCAGUGGGGAAUAUUGCACAAUGGGCGGAAGCCUGAUGCAGCAACGCCGCGUGCGGGAUGACGGCCUUCGGGUUGUAAACCGCUUUCGCCUGUGACGAAGCGUGAGUGACGGUAAUGGGUAAAGAAGCACCGGCUAACUACGUG